rnacentral:piRNA from 1 species
UAAAAUUUGUGUCUUACUGUUCUAAUG